GUGCACUGCCCUCACCCACCUUCUUUUUGUAAUGAUACGCCAUGAUAAAAUGCCUGUGUGAUGAAAUGAAGUAAAGAGAAUUGUGAGGUAGUGUCACGCUACUCCUGACCUUCUGAUAUAUUGUCAGAAGGAGGAGCAUCUGCUUCCUGACUCCAGUUGAUGUCACACGGCAUGGCAUUUGUAAGAGUGUACCAAACUUACACUUCUGCCCAAUGAAUAUAAAUCAUCUGCAGCCAUUGAUUGUGAAACGAUGAGAUUAUACCAGCGAAUACCCUUGUCAACCAAAAGCUGCCGGAUCAGUACAAAGUAGCAGUGUUAUUAUUAUUGUUGUUGCUACAAAGGAAAACCCAGAGAAUAUCUCUAAAUUGUUAGAGAUUAACCAAACUCAUUGAGUGUGAAAUCGGUUGAAGACCUGAGAGUCGAAGGAACACAGACAGCUGGUGUGCUGGGAUACAUAAACCAAUCCCAUGAAAAAAUUCUUCAGCGGUCAAUGUGGGAAUGAAAACAUGAGCAUCUGAGUGAAGAAUGAAAUGGCUGUGAUAUCAAGUCAGCAACCUGCAAUAGCUCUGCUGUGGGAGAUCAGAGUCUGGGGGGCAAUGGAGUCUGUGUGUGUGUUGGGGCCAGUCGUUCAGAAGGAACUCUGGAUGAAUGGGAAACUGUUGUAUGUAACAUUUUAGUUUACUUGAGGGAUUAGCCAUUUUUUUGUUUGCAUGGACGAUAAAGAAUGAGAACUUGCAUCUGCAGCUGCAAUAAGCUGAGAAAUGGAGUUCCUUGGAAUGGUAUUAUGGAGAAGGAGGAAGGGAAAAUAAGAAAAGGAAGAUAAUGAUGAUGAUUCAGUAAAAUGAGUGAACCAGAAGGAAAGCAGAGAUGAGUUUAUGCCUGAUUUAUGUGAUGAGAAUGACAUAGUAAUUUUCAUUGCCAGAUCAAGGUCAUUGAAGAAGAAUGCAUUAAAAAGAACUUAAGUACUGUGUUCUGGAAAACUUGGGUCACUUGAACACGGAAAGAUGACUUAAAACUAGCAUGAAUGCAUGAAGGAGGCUUACCCAACCACAAAGAAUCAGAGGUGAAAAGACACUUCCCAGCCUAUCAAACACAAUUGUCGGCAAAAAUAAAAACAAAA